rnacentral:rRNA from 1 species
UUUUUGGAGAGUUUGAUCCUGGCUCAGGACGAACGCUGGCGGCGUGCCUAAUACAUGCAAGUCGAGCGAACCUUUCGGGGUUAGCGGCGGACGGGUGAGUAACACGUAGGCAACCUG